rnacentral:lncRNA from 1 species
AGGUGGUGAGUGGUUUAAAUUAUGCUUUACUUACUAAUUGUGAUGUAAAUUAUGAUGUUAAAUCAAGAGAGUGUCAAAGAGAAUCGAUGUGGUUGUCAAUGGUUGGCUAAUGCCAUGACUAAACCAGAUAUCUUAAUCCCAAUUUGUGUCUAUUUUUAAGAGUCCCUUGGAUCUCCAUAUCUUUUUGCACGGCGGGACACCUAAUUAGCAUCUCCAUCUAUUUUCUUUCCAUUUAAUUAUGUUUUUUCUCGAAAAAUUAUUACUUAAUGAUCAUUAAUGUAAUAUUACUCCUGUCUCACGAUAUAAAAUAUUUAUGUUUUUUAUUUAUAAAGGUACUUUACUUUUUGUGAAAAAAUAAAAUUAUUUGAUUCUUGGAACUAUUUAUAUUCUACAGUAUUUUGUGAUUGGUUAAAUUGUUUUCUAGUAAAUAUUGAAUAAUAUUUCCAAA